rnacentral:snoRNA from 1 species
UGCUUUUAAAAAAUGUACAGCUCUAGCAGAGGUACCCAUUCCAUUCCCAGCUUGCUCGGUAGCUGGUGAUUGGAAGACACUCUGCAACAAGU